GACGAACGCUGGCGGCGUGCUUAACACAUGCAAGUCGAACGGAAAGGCCCUGCUUUUGUGGGGUGCUCGAGUGGCGAACGGGUGAGUAACACGUGAGUAACCUGCCCUUGACUUUGGGAUAACUUCAGGAAACUGGGGCUAAUACCGGAUAGGAGCUCCUGCUGCAUGGUGGGGGUUGGAAAGUUUCGGCGGUUGGGGAUGGACUCGCGGCUUAUCAGCUUGUUGGUGGGGUAGUGGCUUACCAAGGCUUUGACGGGUAGCCGGCCUGAGAGGGUGACCGGCCACAUUGGGACUGAGAUACGGCCCAGACUCCUACGGGAGGCAGCAGUGGGGAAUAUUGCACAAUGGGCGGAAGCCUGAUGCAGCAACGCCGCGUGCGGGAUGACGGCCUUUGGGUUGUAAACCGCUUUCGCCUGUGACGAAGCGUGAGUGACGGUAAUGGGUAAAGAAGCACCGGCUAACUACGUG
rnacentral:rRNA from 1 species